CAUACCGCGUGGGUGAAGAAGGCCUUCGGGUUGUAAAGCCCUUUUGUUGGGAAAGAAAUCCAGCUGGCUAAUACCCGGUUGGGAUGACGGUACCCAAAGAAUAAGCACCGGCUAACUUCGUGCCAGCAGCCGCGGUAAUACGAAGGGUGCAAGCGUUACUCGGAAUUACUGGGCGUAAAGCGUGCGUAGGUGGUCGUUUAAGUCCGUUGUGAAAGCCCUGGGCUCAACCUGGGAACUGCAGUGGAUACUGGGCGACUAGAGUGUGGUAGAGGGUAGCGGAAUUCCUGGUGUAGCAGUGAAAUGCGUAGAGAUCAGGAGGAACAUCCAUGGCGAAGGCAGCUACCUGGACCAACACUGACACUGAGGCACGAAAGCGUGGGGAGCAAACAGGAUUAGAUACCCUGGUAGUCCACGCCCUAAACGAUGCGAACUGGAUGUUGGGUGCAAUUUGGCACGCAGUAUCGAAGCUAACGCGUUAAGUUCGCCGCCUGGGGAGUACGGUCGCAAGACUGAAACUCAAAUGAAUUGACGG
rnacentral:rRNA from 1 species